ensembl:lncRNA
ACUACUAAAGGACAAUAAGAAGAAGAAGAAUAAGAGACCACUACUAAAGGACAAUAAGAAGAAGAAACCACUACUAAAGGACAAUAAGAAGAAGAAACCACUACUAAAGGACAAUAAGAAGAAGAAACCACUACUAAAGGACAAUAAGAAGAAGAAGAAGAAGAAACCACUACUAAAGGACAAUAAGAAGAAGAAGAAGAAGAAACCACUACUAAAGGACAAUAAGAAGAAGAAGAAGAAGAAACCACUACUAAAGGACAAUAAGAAGAAGAAGAAGAAACCACUACUAAAGGACACUAAGAAGAAGAAGAAGAAACCACUACUAAAGGACAAUAAGAAGAAGAAACCACUACUAAAGGACAAUAAGAAGAAGAAGAAGAAACCACUACUAAAGGACAAUAAGAAGAAGAAACCACUACUAAAGGACACUAAGAAGAAGAAGAAGAAACCACUACUAAAGGACAAUAAGAAGAAGAAACCACUACUAAAGGACACUAAGAAGAAGAAGAAACCACUACUAAAGGACAAUAAGAAGAAGAAACCACUACUAAAGGACAAUAAGAAGAAGAAGAAGAAACCACUACUAAAGGACACUAAGAAGAAGAAGAAGAAACCACUACUAAAGGACAAUAAGAAGAAGAAGAAGAAGAAACCACUACUAAAGGACAAUAAGAAGAAGAAGAAGAAGAAGAAACCACUACUAAAGGACAAUAAGAAGAAGAAACCACUACUAAAGGACAAUAAGAAGAAGAAGAAGAAACCACUACUAAAUCACAAUAAGAAGAAGAAGAAGAAGAAACCACUACUAAAGGACAAUAAGAAGAAGAAGAAACCACUACUAAAGGACAAUAAGAAGAAGAAGAAGAAGAAGAAACCACUACUAAAGGACAAUAAGAAGAAGAAGAAACCACUACUAAAGGACAAUAAGAAGAAGAAGAAACCACUACUAAAGGACAAUAAGAAGAAGAAGAAGAAACCACUACUGAAGGACAAUAAGAAGAAGAAGAAGAAACCACUACUAAAGGACAAUAAGAAGAAGAAGAAACCACUACUAAAGGACAAUAAGAAGAAGAAACCACUACUAAAGGACAAUGAGAAGAAGAAGAAGAAACCACUACUGAAGGACAAUAAGAAGAAGAAGAAACCACUACUAAAGGACAAUAAUAAUAAUAAGAAGAAACCACUACUAAAGGACACUAAGAAGAAGAAACCACUACUAAAGGACAAUAAGAAGAAGAAACCACUACUAAAGGACAAUAAGAAGAAGAAACCACUACUAAAGGACAAUAAGAAGAAGAAGAAGAAACCACUACUAAAGGACAAUAAUAAGAAGAAACCACUACUAAAGGACACUAAGAAGAAGAAACCACUACUAAAGGACACUAAGAAGAAGAAGAAGAAACCACUACUAAAGGACAAUAAGAAGAAGAAGAAGAAGAAGAAACCACUACUAAAGGACAAUAAGAAGAAG